ACAUGGAUCUUUGGGACAGAAAAUUAACCCUGUACUACUAGUCCUGGAAUAGCCUGGGCAGGACUGGGCCACCCUCAUGAGCAGCCGAAGAAGGAGCUGUUUCUCUAAACUCCUGCAGGAGCACCCCAAGAAACCCCCCAGUGAUUUUCCAACCAGGCAGGUCAUAUCAACCUGGCCCUGUUGCUACUGCAAAGUUUUGACCCAGCACAGAAGCCCUCAUCAAAAGCCAAGCAGAUGCUGGCGCCGUGCCCCUUCCCAGCUGCAGAAUUAAUCGCUGUGAAGACUGAAGGGAAAAAAAU